UUGUUUCUUUUUUCUCAAAAAUUUCUUAAAUCUUCGGGUAAUGAGUGCCAACUCUUCAUCUUGCUCUUCAUUUUCGGUGUCAUCAGUUUCUUCAUCUGGUGGAGCUGUGGAUUUGAGGGCAAUUAUUUUCUUCUUUUUGACUUCUUUUUCUUGAUGUUGCUUCAUGCUCAGCUCAUGAGUCAUCAAUGAUCCAAGAAGCUCUUCCAAAGGUAGAAUGUUCAAGUCCUUGGCUUCUUGGAUGGUGGUCACUUUGGCUUCCCAAGUUCUUGGUAAGGAUCUGAGAAUCUUUCUUACAAGCU
rnacentral:lncRNA from 1 species